rnacentral:lncRNA from 1 species
UCUGCCAACCCUCUUUUUUAUUUUUAUUGUUGUUGUUAUUAUUAUUAUUAAUUAUUAUUGCUCAGUGGCCAAAUAUAGUCUGGCCCUCCAACGGUCCAAAGGAUUGUGAACUGGCCCCCUGUUUAAAAAGUUUGGGGGACCCCUGCACUAGAGCAUGGAUCAACUUUAAAUCCGGUUGCUGCCUCCUGCAGAAUUUUGGAGCUUGUAGUUUAGGGAAGGGCCUUUAAACUGCUUAGCCAGAGAGGUCCUGGGCUUCACUAAACUACAAACCCCAGAAUUCUGCAGGAGGCAGCAACUGAAUUUAAAGUGGAUCCAUGCUGUAGUGUGAUGGGGCAGUAGUUUCUCAGCAAAAGCCUCUCUGAUAUAGGAAACCCUACUAGCCUUCAGCAUAGCCUUUCAUCUUACAUGCAAUCCCACAACCACAAAAGUAGUACUUUUGUAUGCAAGUUCCGGAGUGGAGCCCACCAGAUCCCAUCAAACGACGAAGAGCUAUGUCCACGAAUUGUGGUGAAAGCAUCGUAUGAUGGAGCAACAAGAACACUUCCCGGGUUCUCAUUACCAGCAAUGAAGUUGUGCAGGAAGAAGAAGGCAUGCAUAACAAAGAAUACAGAAGAAUACAUACCCUACUGGAGAACCUAG